AUUUCCAAUCCCAGGAUCAACUCAGAUGGAUAAUGAAGGAGAAAUAAAAGCAAAGCUACAAUGGAUAAUGAAGGACAAAACAGUCAUACAGGUCUGAUGGGGAAGUCAUGGCCUAAUGGUUAGAGAGUCUGACUCUUAACCCUAAGGUUGUGGGUUUCAGUCUCAGGCCGGCCACGACUUGAGCAAGGCACCAAACCCCCCAACUGCUCCCCGGGCGCCGCAGCAUAAAUGGUUGCCACUGCUCCAGCAUACUGAACAUGAAUACACAAGAAGAAAAAGGUUCCAUGUGGAUUGCCCAGCAAAACUUUAUGUCCAAUAUGUAGAAAGGACAUGGCAUCAGAGGUGAAGGAUAUUCUGGCACUACAAGACCCAAACCUGGUGAUCAGCAAAGCCUUCAAACUGUGUAUUACACAGGGUGACUUGGCCACACUGAGGGAGGGUUGCUGGCUUAAUGACAAGAUAAAAGUUAGAAAAAUAAAUUGACUAUUUACUUGAUAUGCCUUGGUUUAAUUGGAAUAAUGCAUCACUACAUGUUUGUAAAGAAAAUGGGGGAAUAAAGGUUUGUCUUCAAUAUCUUAUCAAAAUUUGUAUCAAAAUGAAUAAAUUGAUUCUGCACUGCACAUGAGGGAUGGGUAUUGACACAAAUUUAACAACCAAUUCGAUGCCAACAGUAUCAAGUAAUCAGACAAUUGUUGAUCAUACAGCACUAAUGCUGGAUGUCACCAAUGUCAUGCAUUCUUAAUGAGUAUUUUUCCCCCUCUUCUCUUUUCAAGGUUAUCAACUUCUAUUUGUCCUUGCUAAUGAAAACAGUGAUCAGCCUUAAAGUCUUCUCUUACAGCACUUUUUUCUACCCAAAGCUUCAGAGUGGUGAAGGCCAUGCAGCAGUGAAGAACUGAACAAAAACUCAGUACCUCGUCGUCUUUUAUCUUGUUUUUGUUCCUUUCACCUAGGCAUGCACUGGGCUUUAGCUGGAAGUCAUAUAUAAGUUGGGAUGCAUUGUUUUAAUAUUUAUGUUUUUGAAAAGUGUAAAACAAUAUUUUUGAUUUUCAGUUUGUCUUUAACUUGCCUAUAUUGCUUCUAACCACCAGGUAAUUGAUUUUAAUCCCAGACCAUACAGUGCUAUGACUCAAUGACUCAGAGACAUGAUGAUAUCUGUCAUGUUGUUGUGAGUGUCUUCUUAUUUUUGCUGUUAUAUUAACCUUUGUUCUAUGUUUAUGUUCUGUAAAGCUGCUUUGAGACAAUGUCAACUGUAAAAAGCACUAUACAAAUAAACUUGAAUUGAACUGAA